CCUACGGAGGCAGCAGUGGGGGAUAUUGCACAAUGGGGGAAACCCUGAUGCAGCGACGCCGCGUGAGUGAAGAAGUAUUUCGGUAUGUAAAGCUCUAUCAGCAGGGAAGAAAAUGACAGUACCUGACAAAGAAGCCCCGGCUAACUACGUGCCAGCAGCCGCGGAAAUACGUAGGGGGCAAGCGUUAUCCGGAUUUACUGGGUGUAAAGGGAGCGUAGACGGUUAUGUAAGUCUGGAGGGAAAGCCGGGGGCCCAACCCCGGGACUGCUUUUGAAACUGUGUAACUGGAGGACAGGAGGGGCAGGCGGAAUGCCUGGUGUAGCGGUGAAAUGCGUAGAUAUCAUGAGGAACACCGACUGCGAAGGCGGCCUGCUGGACUGAAACUGACGUUGAGGCUCGAAAGCGUGGGGAGCAAACAGGAUUAGAUACCCCGGUUGUC
rnacentral:rRNA from 1 species